AGCGGCGGACGGGUGAGUAACGCGUGGGUAACCUGCCUCAUACAGGGGGAUAACAGUUGGAAACGGCUGCUAAUACCGCAUAAGCGCACAGUACCGCAUGGUACGGUGUGAAAAACUCCGGUGGUAUGAGAUGGACCCGCGUCUGAUUAGGUAGUUGGUGGGGUAACGGCCUACCAAGCCGACGAUCAGUAGCCGACCUGAGAGGGUGAACGGCCACAUUGGGACUGAGACACGGCCCAA
rnacentral:rRNA from 1 species